AAUUCGUUAGGGUGUACCUGCGGAGGGAUCAUUACCGAGUUUACAACUCCCAAACCCAAUGUGAACGUUACCAAACUGUUGCCUCGGCGGGAUCUCUGCCCCGGGUGCGUCGCAGCCCCGGACCAAGGCGCCCGCCGGAGGACCAACCAAAACUCUUUUUGUAUACCCCCUCGCGGGUUUUUUUAUAAUCUGAGCCUUCUCGGCGCCUCUCGUAGGCGUUUCGAAAAUGAAUCAAAACUUUCAACAACGGAUCUCUUGGUUCUGGCAUCGAUGAAGAACGCAGCGAAAUGCGAUAAGUAAUGUGAAUUGCAGAAUUCAGUGAAUCAUCGAAUCUUUGAACGCACAUUGCGCCCGCCAGUAUUCUGGCGGGCAUGCCUGUCCGAGCGUCAUUUCAACCCUCGAACCCCUCCGGGGGGUCGGCGUUGGGGAUCGGCCCUGCCUCUUGGCGGUGGCCGUCUCCGAAAUACAGUGGCGGUCUCGCCGCAGCCUCUCCUGCGCAGUAGUUUGCACACUCGCAUCGGGAGCGCGGCGCGUCCACAGCCGUUAAACACCCAACUUCUGAAAUGUUGACCUCGGAUCAGGUAGGAAUACCCGCUGAACUUAAGCAUAUCAAUAAGCGGAGGAA
rnacentral:rRNA from 1 species